AUGUGAGAAAGGUCCCAUAGCUGUCAUGUUCCAGCAUCCUUGUGCCGAAGAAGGGAGGCGCCAACAUGAUUGAUGUUCGGGGGCCGUAUAAAAGCAUUGGGUUUCUCCACAGCUGCUUGUCACGUUGACCUGCACCGUCUCUCAACUGCUCUUGGGGUUUCUGUCAACUGGUAUUGGAGGGGAGAAAACUCUUUGGAGAAUAACAUUUUAUUGUGGUCAUGCCAGAACCCACUAAGAAAGAGGAAAAUGAAGUACCAGCCCCAGCUCCACCCCCAGAAGAACCAAGUAAAGAGAAAGAGGCGGGAACUGGACCAGCAAAAGAGGAAGAUGAUGCUUCUCCGCCUAGUGCCUUGCCUCCAGGUUUGGGUAGUCGGGCCCUGGAGAGAAAAGAUUCAGAAUGGUCUCUUGGUGAGUCACCUGCCGGCGGAGAGGAGCAAGAUAAACAGAAUGCCAACUCUCAGAUGUCUACCCUGCUUGUCGAAAAACCUCAAACAGGUUCAGUGAAAGUUGGGGAAAACAUCACCUUUAUAGCCAAAGUCAAGGCUGAAGAUCUUCUUAGAAAACCCACUAUCAAAUGGUUCAAAGGGAAAUGGAUGGAUCUGGCCAGCAAAGCUGGAAAGCAUCUCCAGCUGAAGGAAACCUUCGAGAGGCACUCUCGGAUAUACACAUUUGAGAUGCAGAUCAUCAAGGCCAAAGAGAACUAUGCAGGAAACUACAGAUGUGAGGUCACCUACAAGGAUAAGUUUGACAGUUGUUCAUUUGAUCUUGAAGUGCAUGAAUCUACUGGGACAACUCCAAACAUUGACAUCAGAUCUGCCUUCAAGAGAAGUGGAGAAGGUCAAGAGGAUGCAGGGGAACUUGACUUUAGUGGUCUCCUGAAACGUAGGGAGGUGAAGCAGCAGGAGGAGGAGCCCGAGAUUGACGUGUGGGAGCUGCUGAAGAACGCCAACCCCAAUGAGUACGAGAAGAUCGCUUUCCAGUACGGCAUCACUGACCUGCGUGGGAUGCUCAAGCGGCUCAAACGCAUGCGCAGGGUGGAGAAGAAGAGCGCAGCUUUUGCAAAAAUUCUUGAUCCUGCCUAUCAGGUUGAUAAAGGAGGCAGAGUAAGAUUUGUUGUGGAGCUGGCAGACCCCAAACUGGAAGUGAAAUGGUACAAAAAUGGUCAAGAAAUUCGACCCAGCACAAAAUACAUCUUUGAACACAAAGGAUGUGAAAGAAUCAUGUUUAUCAAUAACUGUUCACUGACAGAUGAUUCAGAGUAUUAUGUGACAGCUGGUGAUGAGAAAUGUUCUACUGAGCUCUUUGUAAGAGAGCCUCCAAUUAUGGUGACCAAACAGCUGGAAGACACAAAAGCUUAUUGUGGGGAGAGAGUGGAAUUGGAAUGUGAAGUGUCUGAAGAUGAUGCCAAUGUAAAAUGGUUUAAGAAUGGUGAAGAGAUCUUCAUUGGUCCCAAAUCAAGAUACAGAGUUAAAGUUGAAGGGAAAAAACACAUUUUGAUCAUAGAAGGAGCAACAAAGGCUGACAGUGCAGAAUAUUCAGUCAUGACCACCGGGGGACAAUCAUCUGCUAAACUGAGUGUUGACUUGAGACCUCUAAAGAUCACAACACCUCUGACUGAUCAGACUGUGAAGCUUGGAAAAGAAGUAUGCUUGAAGUGUGAAAUCUCUGAAAACGUACCAGGAAAAUGGACAAAAAAUGGUCUUCCCGUUCAGGAGAGUGACCGUGUGAAGGUUGUUCACAAAGGAAGAAUCCACAAGUUAGUUAUAGCCAAUUCUCUCAUUGAAGAUGAAGGUGAUUAUGUGUUUACACCAGAUGUCUAUAAUAUUCCUUUGUCUGCCAAAGUUCAUGUUAUUGAUCCUCCUAAGAUCAUCCUGGACGGCCUCGAUGCUGACAAUACAGUAACUGUGAUUGCAGGAAGCAAGCUUCGUCUUGAGAUCCCUGUCACUGGGGAACCACCUCCCAAGGCCAUCUGGAGCCGAGCAGAUAAGGCUAUUAUGGAGGGCAGUGGUCGGAUAAGGGCAGAGUCUUACCCUGACAGCAGCACUCUGGUCAUUGAUGUGGCUGAAAGAGAUGACUCUGGUGUGUACAACAUAAAUCUGAAAAACGAAGCUGGAGAAGCACAUGCAAGCAUCAAGAUUAAAGUUGUGGACAUCCCUGAUCCUCCAGUGGCACCAAAUGUAACAGAAGUAGGAGAUGACUGGUGCAUUAUGAACUGGGAGCCUCCUGUCUAUGAUGGAGGAUCUCCAAUCUUAGGAUACUUCAUUGAGAGGAAGAAGAAACAAAGCUCUAGGUGGAUGAGGCUGAAUUUUGAUCUCUGCAAAGAAACAACUUUUGAGCCCAAGAAGAUGAUUGAAGGUGUCGCCUACGAGGUUCGCAUCUUCGCCGUCAAUGCCAUCGGCAUCUCCAAGCCCAGUAUGCCCUCCAAGCCCUUUGUUCCUUUGGCUGUAACCAGCCCUCCUACGCUUCUGGCUGUUGACUCUGUUACUGACUCGUCUGUGACAAUGAAGUGGAGGCCCCCAGACCAGAUCGGUGCAGCAGGUUUAGAUGGCUAUGUGCUAGAGUAUUGCUUUGAAGGAACUGAAGACUGGGUAGUUGCAAACACAGAUCUGAUCGACAAGACCAAGUUCACCAUCACAGGUCUGCCCACGGAUGCCAAGAUCUUUGUACGUGUCAAAGCUAUUAAUGCAGCUGGGGCCAGUGAGCCCAAGUACUAUUCUCAGCCCAUUCUUGUGAAGGAAAUCAUAGAGCCACCAAAGAUUCGCAUCCCAAGGCACCUGAAACAAACUUACAUCCGCAGAGUUGGAGAAGCCGUCAACCUGGUUAUACCUUUCCAGGGAAAACCAAGACCAGAAUUGACCUGGAAGAAGGAUGGCCAGGAAAUUGAUAAGAAUCAAAUAAACAUCCGCAACUCGGAGACGGAUACAAUCAUAUUUAUCAGAAAAGCAGAGAGGAGCCACUCUGGGAAGUAUGACCUGGAGGUCAAAGUGGACAAAUAUGUGGAAAGUGCAUCUAUCGACAUCCAGAUCGUCGACCGUCCGGGUCCUCCUCAAGCUGUGAAUAUUGAGGACGUCUGGGGAGAGAAUGUUGCUCUCACAUGGACACCUCCGAAGGAUGAUGGCAAUGCCGCCAUCACAGGGUACACCAUCCAGAAGGCCGACAAGAAGAGCAUGGAAUGGUUCACUGUCAUCGAGCAUUAUCACCGAACUAAUGCCACCAUUACUGAACUGGUCAUAGGGAACGAAUACUACUUCCGGGUCUUUGCUGAAAACAUGUGUGGCCUCAGCGAGGAUGCAACAAUGACUAAGGAGAGUGCUGUGAUUGCCAAGGAUGGUAAAAUCUACAAAAAUCCAGUGUAUGAGGACUUUAACUUCACAGAGGCACCCAUGUUUACGCAGCCUUUGGUUAACACCUAUGCCAUAGCUGGUUACAACGCCACUCUGAACUGCAGUGUGCGAGGAAAUCCCAAGCCCAAAAUCACCUGGAUGAAAAACAAAGUGGCUAUUGUGGAUGACCCAAGAUACAGGAUGUUCAGCAACCAGGGGGUCUGCACUCUGGAGAUUCGCAAGCCUAGCCCCUAUGAUGGAGGCACUUAUUGCUGCAAAGCAGUCAACGAACUUGGGACAGUGGAAAUUGAAUGCAAAUUGGAGGUCAAAGUUGUAGCACAGUAAGGAUUGUUGAAUGUAUAUUGUCACGUAAGGAGAAUGACUUUUCAAAUUUGCAUUAAAGAAGUUUUAAGAAUGUUCAAAUAGCAUGCUGGUUUUGUCUGGUCAUGAACUUAUUAGCAAGUAUUGAAGCAUUUCACUAAAGGACAGUGCAGUCUUGUGGUUUCAUGGAUUUUCUCUUGAAUGAUGCUUUUGUUCUUUGACUAUAACUCAGAAACUCAGAAGGUGGGCUGUCCUUCUGCAGGCUCCUCUUACAAGGUGUGCCUCCAAACAUAAUUGAUUCUUAUUUGCGAGAUUUGCAGUCAAGCAAUCCUGAGGAAUACUGAAGGCUGGGCUGCCCCUGUAAACUUCGCUGCUUCUGAAAUCUGGUUGAGAAGAGAAAGCAUUUUCUGGUUUUCCACCAGGCCCCCAAGUGUGGUCAUUUCCUUUCCUUCUAACAUUGGAGAAAGAAGAAAAAAUGUUUGCAAGAUUGCUUCAUUAAAGAUUA